rnacentral:pre_miRNA from 1 species
AGGUGACAGUUGGUGGGAGACAUGUGAGUUUGAUGUGAGGUGUGAGUUGGGAGAUAGGUGUGAGCUAGAAGAGAGACUGGUGACAGCAUCAAACUCACAUGUCUCCCACCAACUGUCACCU